rnacentral:rRNA from 1 species
UACGUAGGCAGCAAGCGUUGUUCGGAGUUACUGGGCGUAAAGGGCGCGUAGGCGGCGCGGGAAGUCAUCGGUGAAAGUUCAGGGCUCAACUCUGAAUCGGCCGGUGAUACUCUCGUGCUCGAGCACUGUAGAGGCAGGUGGAAUUCCGGGUGUAGCGGUGAAAUGCGCAGAUAUCAGGAGGAACACCGGUGGCGAAGGCGGUUCUCUGGGCAUGUCCUGACGCUGAGGAGCGAAAGUGUGGGGAGCGAACAGG